GUGCAAUCUGUCCAUUUUUGUUCUUGGCUGAGAAAUUGUUAUUCUUGUUUUUCUAGUCUUGGACGAAUUGUGUUAUCUAGAUCUAAUAAUCUUUUACUUGUUUAGAGUGUUUCUAGUGUUGGUUUCUUUCUCACCAACACUACAAGUGUCUAGAUCUAAAGUUUGAGCUUAAAACAUUGGCAUUGUUGUUGUGAACUUGAAAGUGGCCGUGUAUUGUGGAUUUGGUUGAAACGUUGGGUGUGUUGUUGGUGUUCUUGAAAAAUUUUUGCGGUGUUCUUGUUGUUCUUCAUCCACUCCCAUAUCUUUACUAACUUAAAGUACCUAAUAGAUCUAAAAAGUUGUAAGACAAAGUUGUAAAGCUUGUUGGCGAAAGAACUUGAACCCAUCACUUCCUAGACUUGACAUCAACUUUUCAACCACUUACCUUGUUUCAAGGAGCCUUGUUUUGUGGAACUAGUACAAGUCAAAUUUCACCUUUUUGAGUUGAAUUUGAAGAGUUUCAAGACUUGUGUUUUCCCUUCAAUACUAAUUGUCUUCCAUUCUAAGAUUGUAUAAGGACUAAACUUCAAGUUGUGACUAAAAAUUUGUGUGGGACCAAGACCAAUUGCAUGCUGCCAUAUCACCUUUGCUACUGUUCACGUCAAUAUUAAGCUAAAAAAAUUGGAUUUUCUAGUUUCUAAUUUUUGAUUCUUGGUUUUAAUUAGUUGAUCCUAAAACUAAUUAACAAACUAGUAAACUCCUACUAGGUUGUCAAUUAGUCCUUUGAAUUCAUUGUUCGUGUCUACGUUAUUUUGUGAUUUUGUUAUUUUUAAAUAAUAGUACUUCUUGGUUUAAGUUCGAAAAUUACUUCCUUGAGUCGUCAAACAAAUAAUCUAUUUCGACUAAGAAGUAGACUUACUCUUCAACUCACCACGAGUUACAAGCCGACUUGCAAACAUUUGUUAAAUCAAGUGUGAGACCACAAAGUGUGUGAGAGUGUAGUGAGGUUGUUUUGAACUAACGUGUGUCUUAUUUUGUAGGAUUUAUAUUGUAUUGUUGUGUGUGACGUUAUGGACUGAUUGGGUGUUUUGUUGGACCGUAACUUAAAGGGUUAUUUUUGGUACAACCACAAUGGAACCCGAGGCUUCAAAUGCUUAAACAAUGGACAAUAAUGCCAUCAAUUUAUUUUGGCUCGCCUUGAAACUAUGUCCCGAGAUGUGGCUAGGUUGAAUGUGGGUCUUAAGAAAUUAGAUACGGAUGUGACAUCAAUAAGUGGGAGAUUAGAACGUGUGAAAAGUCAAUGGAGUCGACCUUCCACCCCUCAAAAUAAUUCCCCAACUAAUACUCCUGAGACCUUGCACCAAAUGCUAUAUCCACCAAUUGCCAUAAAUCCAACCAAUCUUUACUCUCGAAGUCGAGAACAAGAUAGACCAAACUAUCCUCCACUCUACCAAGUCCAACAAAAAGGGCUUGGAACCCAAAUACCACCAUUAAACCCAAACCCUCUCAUCCAAACUCCACUUCACCAAAGAUCUCACUAUCCAAAUCCAAUCCCGCCACUACAAGUUCCACUUAACCUAAAUAGACCCAUCCAUGUUGAGGGAUAUGGUAGGGGAGGACAACAUGAUGGUUAUGGUCCGUAUGAUGAUGUUUACUUGGAGGAAGAAAGAAUGAGGGCUAGACAUGGGGAGUUAGGCCGAGAGGUGAGAGAUGGACACCCAAACUGAGAUAUAGGUCUCAAUUCCAUCAAAGUGAGCCUUCCCGUUAUCAAAGGUGAGAGUGAUCCUGAAGCCUACCUUGCAUAGGAGUCGUAUAGUGACAAGAUCUUCCAACUUAAUUAUCUCACCGAAGAAAAUAAAAGUUGCUAUGCUAUAGCUCACUUCAAAGGGUAUGCUAAUACAUUGUGGGAGUAUGUUAAACAGUUUGGGAAUGAGAUGAUUAGGGGACAACCUCUUUCUUCGUUUUGGUUGAAGAACCUUAUGCAGCAAAGAUACUUACCCGAGACUUAUAGACAUGAGCUCCUUGCCAAAUUGUACAAUUUGAGCCAAGGGAGCAAAAGUGUCAUGGCUUUCUAUGAUGAAUUUUAACAAUUGAUGUUGAAACUAGAUCACCGGGGAGAACAAGUGAGCCAUGACAUCGUGCGCUUCAAAGUUGGGUUAAAAAAGGACAUCUCCACUCGCAUGACACUUUAUAAGUUCGACAUCAUUGAUGGCAUCUUCCAAGCAACAUUGGAGGUUGAAAGAGAGCUCAAAGAGAGCUCAUUCGUAGAUGUCCAAAUCGAGAGCAGCAAGGUUUCCCCUAAAUAGUCCACUAGGUAUGAAGGUAAACCAAUUUCCACUUCCAAUUCCAAGGGAUUUCAAUGCUUCAAAUGCCAAGGGUGGGGGCACAAGGCUAGUGAGUGUCCAAACCGGAGGAACAUGAUCCUAAGGUAGGGAAAAUUGUACUAUCUUGAGGAAGAAUUAGUAAUUGAAUUGGCUAAGGUUGAUGGAAAGCCUCAAGAUGGAGAGAAAGAAGAGGUUGAAAUGCAAGGCGAGGGAGAUGGAGAAGAUGUAUGGCCGUGUGAAGGAGAUUGUAAAGUGCCUUUGUAAAAGAGGUAAGGCCGUGAAUUUGUGAGAAAAUUCCUCUGAAGAUGGAAAGAAUGAUACGAGAACGAUCAUGACCUUAGACACUUUUUGAGUAUUUUGAAGAUCACCUAAAAGGGUGCACAAGACCAAGUGUAAAGAAGGCCCAAACUGCUCCUAAAGUGCACUCAGUGGGCGGUUUGGAGCCCAUUAAUGAAAAGGACCUUUAGUCUUUUGUCUCUUAUUUUGUAAUGUAAUAUAAAUAGAACAUUAUAGGGUUUCUAGUUCUUUAGUUGAUUAUUAUUAUUGAAAUAACACUUCUCUUAGAGUGAGAGAGAGUCCAACCAAAACUAGGGCAUUGCAUAAGUAUGAAAUCAUUUGUGUGUUGCAUUUUGCUUGAUACAUUGGUGCUUGGGUGGUGGACUCCUCUCUUGUGUCAAUUGUAAGAUAUAGGUGAUAGUUGUGUGUAGUGUUAAGGGUUCAAGAGUGGAAUAAGCUCUUGGAUUCUUAAUAUUAUACCAUCUACUUGUCUAUGUUUCUAUCUUUAUUUUAUUGUAAUCGUUGGUAGUGUCUUGUAUUGUAACUCGUAUUGUUCUUAUUGUUAUAAUGUUGUUAUUCUUCAUCCUAUUAUUGUUAAUAUAGUUUGGGAUUGUUGGUUGCCAAUAAGUGUUAAACACCUUAUUCUCUUGUGUUCUUGUUGUUGUUCUUGAAUCCGAGUAUGAUCAUUAAAGAGGUCCAUGGUUUCUUGACUAAUGGACUAUUUUGGUGUGUGGUUUUUGUGUCUUCCUUGGUUAUUCUUAUAUCAAUAUAUCUCCCAUGUUUCCCGUAUUACUUCUGCAUACUGAGAUCUUCAAGAAUUUUCCUCAAGUCGCUAUGCUUUCAUUGAGAAAAGGCCCAGAAGAAAAAGAGAAAAAUUGGAGAAAAAAACUGACUGAUUGGUGUUUUUUUUACGUUAUUAGGUUUGGGUGGGGCGGGGCGGGUUAUUAGGUUUGGAUGGGUUGUGGGUUAGGUUUAGCGGGUCGGAUUAUUAACUACUUUAAUUAAUUAUUAGUUGGCCAAUUAAAAGAAGCCACAUCAUUAAUGAAUUGGUGAUAAAUUAAUCUGUUAAAUAAAAGAGCAAAGUAGACCUGAAAGGUAGAUGACGAGGGUAUUUCAGGCCCAAUAGGUAGACGGGGGAUAUUUUUACACCAUUUCAGAUAGUUAAAGGACAUUUUAGACCCUUUUUCCAUUUCUUUUAGUAUAUGAUGUUAUAGUUUUUGGUUCGACCCCACAUAUAUCGAAAACUCUAGUACAUUAAACAAUUUUUAUUUUUUACUUCCCCUCUUCGUCUUUAUUUGUUUAUUUUAUAGUAGAGUAGUUGACUAAUUCCAAUGAAAAUUGAGUUCACCAAUUCAAAACACACAAUUAAUAGCUUGAACGGCUCUAAUAAAACAAGAGGUGUUACUUUAGAUGGACAGAAAAUAUAAAAUGAGUAAAAUUUAUAUUAAUCCCAACAAGUUUACCCCCCCUUACACUUUAUCCUUACUCUUUACUAAAUUACAAUGAUUUCUUAUUUUAAAAUUUUUAAAUAUAUAAUUCGCAUCCGGAUAUAUAAUUUUGAAAUUGAGAUACAUAAUUUUAAACUUAAAAAUGUAACAAUUAAUUACUCCAGUUUUGCUCGGAUACAUAAUUAGCAUCCAGGCACAUAAUUUUGAAGUGGAGAUACAUAAUUUUAAUUACUGAGAUACAUCCAUUUCUGAAACUAUUUGGUCGAGAUACAUAAUACAUUAACCAGACCAAAGGAAUUAAAAUUAUACAUUCAAAAUUUUAUAAAUUUAUGGAUGUAUCCGGUUUUUUUUUUUAAAAAAAUAAAUUUAGGUAAUUAAUAAAAAUAAUAGAAAUUUUAUAUAAUCUAGUAAGGAUGAUGUUAAUUUUUUCUAAAAUGAUAUACUCAAAAUGAAGAGCGAAACGAAAAAUUAUGUGGCUGCUGGGAUUCGAGCCCAGGUCUCCACGGCCACAACGUGGAAUUCUCACCACUAAACUACAGCCACAACAUGUAAAAAUUAAACUCUUUAUUGCAUUAUAUCAAUUCAGUUGCUUAAUCACACUGUACAACGAAUAUACUUUUUAGGUGGUAUAAAUCAUACUCACCCAUUUUAAUUUAUUUUUCUUACUUUUUGUUAAAUCUGUUAAUGAAAAGAUGUCUCUUUCUUAGAAUUUGUUCAAUCAUAGAUUUCUCAAAGUAAUUUUUGAGAAAAAAACUUGAAAAAUAUUAUUUGGCCAUAUAAAUUAUUAUUAUUUGACAAAUAAUUCAAAACCUCAAAUACUAGGAAAAAUUAGUAUUUAGGCCUAAUUUUAUUUUUUAAAACUUUUAAAAGUAAAAUAUAUUUCUCAAAUAUUAUGGCCAAAUAUGUGGUGAAACUUCACUAAUCUUUACCAAAAGUAACUUGUCAAAAAUAUUUGAAAAUUUAUGAUCAAACGCUAGCUUAGUUUGACAACUUUUUGACUUCUUUUUUCUUUUUAAGGACAACUUUUUGAUUUCAAUAUCCACGUUACAUGUUUAAGAUCAUAUUAUUUCGCUAUUAUUACUGUUCUCUUUUAUAAUGCUAUAUAGUUCUGCUUUUCUUGUUUUUUUUUUUGGAACCCAAAAAAAAAAUUACAACCUUUGCCACAAUCUCUAUCCUUUGGGUGAGCACUUUGUGGUAACUUGCUCACUGUACAAUAGCUCACAAACCACAAAGAAGAUGUAAACCGCACUAUGCAAGUCCCAUGAGACGAGCUCAUGGCUUAGUGGCAAACAGAAACUAGACUCAAUCUCAGGUCUCCACAUGGAGAACGACCUCCCAAUCACUCAACCAUGCUUUCUUCAUUGUUGUAUUUUUUUUUUCAUAAGUAUUUUGAAUUGUUGCACUUUAGCCUAUGAUCUUUCGUAAAUAGCCUCUAGACCUCCACAAAAUAGGAUCAAGGUAUGCUACUCUAUAUUCUCCUCAAUUUUUACUGGUAGGAUUCCAUCGGGUAUGUUAUUGUAGUUUAAAUUGUAUUAUUAAAGAAUGUUUUGGUACAUUAAACACAUUUAAUUUAAGACACGCUAAAUUUAAAAGUAUUCUUUAUUCUUUUAAACUUUGCGUCAAGUCAAAUUAAGACAAACAAAUUAAAAAAGAGGGAGUAAUAAACAAACUCAGUGUUACAAAUGUUCUACCAACAUAUGAGAUAUCACGAACAAGGGAUUGAUCAUUACCUCAUUGUAUUGGUUAUGUAGUUUGUUGAUCUCCAAGUUUAGGACAAUUGAGUCAUAAAAACAUUCUUUUUUAGGUCCAUUCGAUGUCCGAUACCUGUAUUGAAUUUCCGACCAAUUGAUAUUUUCACUGCAUAAAAUCUACUUAUAUCUCCUACUUCUCGGAGACCAGUACUAAAAUAACAUGAACUAAUACUCCCUCCAUCCCAUAUUAGUUCAUUACAUUUAUUUUUCAUGCUUUCUCAGAAAUCAUAAAUAAGAAGAUAAUUUUACUGACUUAUUCCUUUAGAUACUCGUUUGAAACUUUACAAACUUAUUUUUACACUUUCAAAGAGUAUUAUUUAUAGGGGUAAAAUGAAAAAAAUUAGACUAAUUUUAUCUUGAUUGAGUAAGUGAGCAAAUAAUUUCACAUAUAUAUUUUUAGUAAGAUGAUCAACUAACAUGGAACGGGAAGUAAGAGGUAGACUCGUGAGGAGAUCUGAUUUUAAUAGUUUUUCAUCUUUUUUCUUUCAAAUUAUAUAUAGAGAGGGAGAAAUGAACUGAGUUGAACUUACUUUGGUUCAUUGAUUUAAUUAACCCACCAGCACUUCAAGUUAUAUAUAAUCUUGUGUGUUUGUCUAUGACCACCACAGCAAAUGUCAAAGCCAAGUUGGACAACCGUUAGAGGAGAGGGAAGCAAAUAUGAGACAAAACUAACAGUGAAAAGUUUCAUGGACCAAAAGGCAUCACACGAAGGGCAAAUGUAAGACAAAUCGAAUACUUUGGGGAGUAAAUUAGUUAAAACUUUUCUUCCACAAGCCAAGUUACAUUGGUCUUCAUAGCAUCCAGAGUGCCAUAAUUUCAGCACUAAGAGUACAACAACAACAUGCCCAGUGUAUUGUAUGCAGUCCAUACCACACUUCCAGUGGGAUCUGAGGGAGGGGGGUGGGGAUGGUAAAGUGUAUGCAGUCCAUACCACUACCUCCACUACCUCAGAUGAAGUAAAGAGGUGGUUUCUGAUAGACCUCCAGCUCAAGAUACAUACCAAUAUAACGAAUAAAAGACAAAAAAGCAAACAACAAAAAGGGAUAUCACACCGCUAGAUAAUAAAGGAAACAAAACACCCACAAGGUAAAACUAUAAACAAGCUAUUCAAAAUCAUAAACAUCAACAAAAAACUACGAACAAGAAACUACAAUAAACUGUAGUCACAGUACAAAGCAUUCUUCCCUACUAUUAUGGACGUACUCCUACCUACGAACCCUCAACCCUAAUUCGCGUCCUCCACACCUUCCUAUCAAGGGUCAUGUCCUCCGUCAGCACUCGAGUGAUUAUAAAAAAACUAUAAUUUUGCCCAUGCUAGUCACUUUUUACCGUAAACUAAUGCAACACAUAUGUUUGGGUUCAGCCAAGCUAAAAGUUGCAUGUUGCUAGCAGCAGAACUCAUCCCACAUAUAAGCCACAAAAGCGGAAGUUGGGUUAUCGCUGAAGUAGUCUAGAGCGCUAGCGCUCACAAAUCAUACUUCUUUUAAGCAGAUAUAUGGUUCCAUCCUUGAGAGAGAAAUACCAUCUCCGCCAAAUCUACGCCCUUCACAAGGCACUGGAAACAGUGAAGAAAGAGAUUUUUAAAGACAACUCAGAAAACUUCUAUAACUUAUGUCUAUCCAACAAUAGUAUCUGAGGCAGGUUGUUAAAAUGUCUUUCAAAUGUAUAUCAAAUCAUUAUAUGCACAUUGUUAAAAACCAACCAGCAAGCUAUUCUUCCACGCGGAGUCCCUACAAUAGAAGUCCUGUCUAUUCCACCUUAGUUUUAUCUCAGAGCAGCUUAGUUGCAGAGAGGGCCAAGUCAGAUCAGUUACUGCAAAUGUCGGAAUCCUUCAAGAUCUCGCUAUGGAUUUGCCUUUGGUGGACUUGAAGCUCUAUUUUCUGUAUUCUCCAAAGUUAACGGUUUCUUUAUAGUAUUUAAGAAGCUUCUUGCAUACAGGGCACCAAAGACAAUAACCUGAAAAAAAUUUAAAUCAACCGUAAAACAACUUCCUCCCCAAAUAAAACACACUGAGAGUUUCAGCUUCCAAAGCCAAGAGACAAUUAAGUAAAUGCUUACAGCUCCAACGCAUUGCUCCCAGCUGAGGGGAUGGCCAAACCACAAGCAUGACAGCAAAAUACUCACCAACUACAUCAAUUUAAUUGAGCAUCAGUAUUGGUUAGACACAAGGCCACUAAGGGUGGUUUGGUAAGACGAAUUUGGUUGGGGAGUGUUUUGAUGAAACUUUUGAACAUUAGAGACUAAUAAUAAUGCCCAACUGUUAGUUGAAAUAAGUGAUAUGAAGUCAAAAAAUAAGAUAUAAGGAAAAUGACUUCCACGUAGAACAGAACUAGCAAUACGUGGGACACCCAUGCCAUCUCAGGGGGAUUUGUACAGGAUUGGGAGGUGGAUAGUCUAUUAAGCCUGCUGCCCAAACUGGACUUGCACCACAGUUGAAGAUACAACUGACUCCUUGUCUGGGGACACAACAAGACACUCUCUCUGAAAGAAUGCUACAAGAAGCUACUCUCGAAAUAGAAUGAUUAACUCUUGGCCUAAUAUGGAGGAAAAAAUUACCACCCAAAUCUAUCUGUUUCAGCUAGAUAGAUUACCUUAAAUGAAAAUUGUCUUACACAUGAUUCCCUCAACAGAAGGGGCUUUCGGCUUGCUCACAGAGUUAUCAGCUAGAUACAUGACAAAUAGUCCCGAGACACACUAUCAUCUUUUCUUACAUUGUGCAGUCGUUGCUGACCUGUGGGACAUGUUACAAUUUAUGGACUUCACUGUGUCAUGCUACAUAAUAUGAAAGAGGUCAAUGCUAGUUGCAGUCUAUGGAGAGUGCAUAAAACCAUCAAGAAGACUUGGUUAAUUAUCCCUACAACAUUUUUUUGAAGGGGUAUUAUGGACCGAUAGGAAUCGAAAAGGUGAUCGAAUCUCAACGCCUAAUCAAAACCUCGAAGCAAAUGUUUACUUGAUCUUUUUAGUUGAACAGAGUUAACCCCUGUCAUUAGCACUGACCAUUUUUUGGACAUUGUUAGCUCCCUAGUUGUAGCUUGAUAUACAGUUAGGGGUCAUUUGGUUUGAAGAUAAGUUAUGUCGGGAUUAGCUAUGCUGGGAUUCGUUAUGUUGGGAUUAGUUGUGCUGGGAUUAGUUGUCCUGAUAUUAUUUUUUAGUGGUUGUUUGGUUUGUGGUACUAAAAAUAAUAUGCAUUGCAUUCUUUCUAAGAAUAUAUUAUUUGUUUACAAAAAUACCCUUCACCUUAUAUAUGUGAAAAGUGAUGAUCAAAGGAUUUGGAGGGUAAUUUUGUCAUUUUAUGGCUUUAUCCCAAGAUAAAUUAUCCAGAAAUUAUUAAAGGAUGGGAUAACUUAGCCCGGUACAAUUUGUUAAAUCCGGCAUACUACAAUUGGACUCGGCAACCAAACAGGACACAAAAAUUUUAUUCUUGGACUAUUUUUUUAAUCCCGGAACUAUUUGUUUUGAUACCUUACACCAAACGACCCCUUAAAGAGUCAAUUAUUGCAUCUUUUUGCUUUACUCUUUUUUGUACUAUUGCCUCUUCUUGAUACUUCGAUUAAUGAAAUACCUUCACCCAAAAAUAAAUAAAUUCACCUAUAAGUGAGGGAAGUCAUUUUUCUCCUUUUUGAUAGAAAAUUUAAAACGUAGAAGAUGAUUUCCGUCAUUCCAAACAUCGGAAAAUGACCUGGAAGUCAUUUUCCCAUUCCCUCGUAUCAAACACAUACUAAGUGGAGAGCAUAACACUUUCUCAAACCCUUUGAACUAUAUCUUAUUACCUGUCUGGUGGUCAUUAUGGUUGCAAAGGUUAGAGCACCAAAUGUGCGGAUUGUGUACGAAAUAAAGAAUUGACUAGCUGUUGCUACCUGCAACAAAGAACAUAAACAGAUAUAAUUACAUUUUAAUGACGACCGAGUCUGCACAAUUUAGCCAAGAACAGAGAAUCUUCAUUUAAGCAAAUCAGGAUUUUUAUAUAUUUUACAACAGCUUACAGUAGAAAGCAGAGCAAUGUCAAAGAAACAAUCAUGAUGGCGAGAUACGAAAUCAAUUGCCAUGAGAAGAUUGCCCUGCAUGAUCAUACCUAAAUGGGAAAUAAAAGACAAAUUCUAGUCAGAUCUAUUCAUCGGAACAUAAACUAGAUAAACACUCUUAAUACAAACUCGGGAUACCCAUAAACAUUUAAAGUAUGUCAUUAAACCAAAUAUCCUGCCUAACAGAAAAAGACAAUACACUAGGAGCUGCUACAUAUCAUCAAAUCUUGUGUUCUUAACUAGCUGUCAAGAAUUUCUGCACUAGCAAAUGCAGACGUCUGGGAUAGAGUUUCAUCUACAAUCAUGUAAUAGAAAGGUCAAACAAUAUGCAGUACACCGCAAGAAUACUAUUCAGAACAUCGAGGAAAACUGGACGGCACAUAGUGCUAUGAAUAGUCAAAAUUUCCUGAGCCGGGGUCUAUCGAAAACAGCCUCUCUACUUCAUCUAAGGUAGUGGUAUGGACGGCGUACACUUUACCCUCCCCAGACCCCACUUUGUGGGAAUACAUUGGAAUUGUUGUCGUUGUUGUUGUAUAGUGCUAUGAACAGUCAAAAUUUUGGAUCUAAACUGAAACGUAAUUCAAAGCCAAACAUACUUAAGCUUGGAAGCUAACCAAUCCUUCAUAUUCAUCAGCUGUUGCAUAAAUUUGCAUUUUAGAUAAUUUAUAGAAUCAAUUUAAAGGUUAUCAAGAAAUAUAUAGAACAACAACAAUAAACUCGGUGCAAUCCCACAAGUGGGGCCAGGGGAGGGUAGUGUGUAUGCAGACCUUACCCCUAUCUUGUGGAGGUAGAGGACUAUUUCCGAUAGACCCUCAGCUCUCAAAUAACUAAAAAGAAAGCAUUUCAAAAUAGUUUUGUAAAUAAAAAGUACGAAAGUGAAGAAUCCGGGGCAAAUACUAAGGAAGGAAUUACAUAGCAUUUUGAAAGAAAAAAAACAAUAACAGCUAAAUAAUUUGAUAAUGAAAGUGCUAGAAACAACCGAUAGUUGUAACUGAAGAACAAGAAACCAAGAGAAAAACACUACUACUACUGGUAUUAAGGAAAAGUAGAUAAGGUGCUCCAAACUACCACCAAGCCUAUCCCACAAGCGCUCAACUAACAACUACCUAUCUACUGUGAUUUGUAAGUCUUACAGUAAACCAUGGAAAUUAUUGGAGAUGACAAGCUUAGUGAGAAGACCAGGAAAAUAACAAAAUAGUUAACUUUGUAGAAGUUUUCAGCAUCUUGUCCGAUACCUUUUUUAGAUGUUAAGAUUGAUUUUUUUUAAACCCUGGGGUUGCGCGCACCUCGACUAAUACAGGAUACUUGCUCCCCCACCAGCACAGGUAUCGAAUAACUCUAUCCACCAAGGCCUAGAAAGGAUGGGAAGAAAUCACCUAGUGCUUUUGCCACCGUUGGGAUUUGAACCCGAAACUCAUGAUUCUCCACCCACUUCAAUGAACACUAGGCCACACCCUUGGGUGCAUAAGAUUGAGUUUCUUAAUAAUAAAUCAAAUACACUACUAAUUAGUUGCAGAAACUAGUUUUGCAACUGCAGUAAAUGAGAUCUUACCAGCGAAACUAAGAAGACAAGAACAGACGGUUGUGUAGAAUAUCUGAGUGUGUAUUUCCAUAUCAUAACCUUUAAAAAGUUUAUCCUGGAAUGUGCUUGUAAAUCCAUCAAACCUGUGAGAUCAAAUGCUUUAUUAAAGCCUUGUUUCAGAAGCUUAAAAAAACUAAUAUUCAAUUCUAAUAGGGAGAUGACUCAAUUUCUCCUUUUAAUAAAAACCAAAGAACGAUGAAACUGAAUAAGGGUAUAUUUGCUUCUUAAGUUAGACUUUUGUAUCAACUUGCUGAGUGAAGUUUUGAUAUCUUUAUGUUUUACUCCUAUUAUCUUAAAAUAACUCCUCUGCUAUGGACCAAUUAAAAGAGCUCGUUGAGCAAUAGCAUAGUCAUCAGGUAAAAAGAAUUGUAAAAAUUCAUUGGGAAAGCAAAAGAGAUGUAUUUAAUAUGCAAAGUAACAAUUAUUUUGUUCACCAGAAAGCUAGCAAAAGAUGACUUUCUGUUUAUAACAUAUGUUAAUAGCUCAAAAAUCUAUGAAGCAAAUUCUGAUCUUUUUCCUUUUGAUUGACUUGGAGGCUCCAAUCAUGGAGCAUUAGGAGUUAAGACAUUUUUUUUCUGGCAAUCUUAGCGAAUAAGGUGAAAGACAGUACAUCAAGGGAGGAAAAAGAGAGAACAUUAUAAACAUUACAGACCUCUUAUGAUAAACAAACUCAUUCAAAUACAAGAUAUGUGCUUGGACCUAGUUUUCUAGAUCUCUGACACAUUCUCAAGAAAGUCUCAAUUUUAAGCAAAUCCAGCUGUUUCUCUUAACAUUCAUUAAUUAAAUGACCAAAUUAAAAUGUUUGAUUAUAUCAACUCAUACCCAAGAUAGCCCAUCAUAAGAGAAACUCCCCAAAUGGUGCUCUCCCUUUCUCUACUGUAUGGGCUAGUGUCCCCUUCUGCCUAGAACCAAAAAAAACUGUAAAAAUACUGCCUUGAGGAUACAACUGCAAAGGAAAAUAUAUUCUGAAUACUUUUCAAGCACAAGCACGUGUGCCAGAAACAAUAAUCUUGUUAGUAAGUCUGUAUUCUAGUUUGGAGAAUUAACCCUAAGUACAUCAUUCUGAUUUAUAUUUAGUGCUAGUAAAUUAUACAAAAUAACUGGCUUCAAAACAGUCCCUCAACAAGGUAAACAACAUAAAUGUCAUGAAAUCUAUUUCAUUCCAAAGAUAAUGAAACAGUAAACUAUUUGUUCUAGUGUUUCAGAAUCAGACCAGCAUAAAAGUUCCAGGGAGGUGCAGCAGAAGAUGCCCAAAAAUUUGAUGGCUUCCCAAGAAAAGAGUGCAGGAAUUUCAACCCAGUAAUCCCUCAUUCAGUGCUCGUAACAUAUUAGGCCAUUGCACCUGUUCAUUGGGAAUGUAAAUUGCCAUAUCUCCCUGUUUAUGGAGAUCCAAUACAACAACUAUGCUUUAACCCCAAGCUCUAGUUGGGGAUAUGUAUAAAAAUCCCCUCUAUCCAUUUUGCUCCAUUUGAAACCAUAUUUUUCCAAUAUCCAAUAAUUUAGGUUGUCUAGCAUCACAAGUUCUUUACAUUUUCAGAUGACAUACAAAUGUACAAGAAUAAAGUGACUUCUAGCAAACAUUGGACCUUACUGUAAGCUUAACAACAUGAUUAUGGCCUCAUUUGUUUGCACUUAAUGGAGGCCUGAAUCUGAAUAGUUCAGACUUCAGACCAUUAAGUGCAUUUGUUUUUUAUUAAGGUUUUAACUCUUAAUAGGUCUGAAGGUAUAUUCUGGUGUUGGAUAAUAUUCACCACUCUAUUCAUAAUAAGCAGUCACCACCACUAACCACCUCUGCCACCAUCACCAUUGUCAACCACCAUCCACCACCACCAACCACCUCCGCCAUCACAACCACCAUCGACAAAAAAUAUCAACCAUAAUUGUCAACCGCUACCACACCUACUACCUCUUUUAUUCUAAUUAUAUUCACCGCCACCACUGCCGUCAACAGCACCACAAUCAGUAAUCACUACCAGUCAAUCCCUACUACAAACCAACUCAUCUAUCACAACUAGCACCACCACUAACUACCACUAAUACAUCACAACCUCUACACAUUCUUUGGCCGCCACAUUGUCAAUCAUCAGGCAUUCAUGUUUCAGCCAACACAACCAACACCUUAAACUACUAACAUCAAGCAACGUCACAACACAACCACCAUCACCACCAUCAAUCGCCACCAUCAUAACAGUCACUACAAUACCAACCAUCACAAUUAUCACCACCAACAUUAUUAAUCACUAACAUCAAUCAUAGUCACCGCAACCACCAUUAUAAGUCAUCUCCACUAUCGCUAACAAACAUAAAUAUUUUUUCUCAAUCAAAUACUAAUAAUUUUGUUUUAUUAAAUUACAUACUUUUUUAAUAUAUAAUUAAUUUUUUAUUUGAAUUGGAGUUUUUAUUUUAUUAUGUAUAUAAAUAAUUUUUUUUAAACAUUCAGAUGUUGAAAAACAAACAGUCUUAAUCAUUCAGUUUUCAGAUCUAGAGACAACAUCUUAAUCAUUCAGAUGUGUAUUCAGAUUCAGACGUCUGAAUCUGAAAAAAAACAAAUGGAGCUUAUUGUCUUAGUCUAACUACAUGUAUCACCUAUAAUGAAUUUUUACUUCCAUUGGGUGGUAUUUUCCCUAAAUCUGCAAGGAUUUCCAGAGAUUACAGGUCUUUUGAGACAACUUCUCUUCUGAUAAAUCAUGGCUACUAGAAAAGGUUAAUAUGAAGCAAAAGAUUCAUGAAGGAUUCACGCAAAAUAUACUCUGAAAAUAAUUCCUACAAUAAUUUGGCUUAGUGGCAUUCAGAAAAACACAAAGGUGUUCAGAAGAAGACAUAAGUUAUUACCGGAUACAGAAUAAAUAAUGAACAACCAAGUGUGACUAGGAAUGCCAAGAAAUAGUCCUGUCCUUUGUACUUCUUUUGCAUCAUGAUAGUGCCCCAGAUCUGCAUGAGACAAAAAGGAAGUGUAAGAUGGGUAUCAAAUGGGAAGCAUACUCAAUAGUGUUACUUGUUUAAACAAAAUAUUGUAGGUGAGACAAUGUAAAACUACGAGAUGCAAAGAGGCAGAUUUAAAAUAAAAAUAUGUUACUUUUAACUUCAGUAAAGGAGGUGGUUCUUUAUUGAAAUUAUAGGUGCUAAAAUAACCAAAAAAAGUACCUAGAAAACACCAUAUAAACAUUAAAUUUAGUGCUUCACCAGUUAAUUUUUUCAUACAAAAGGACAAAUUCACAUUUCAAAGUAGAUGGAUAUGGUAUCAUAGACCAGAAGUCAUAGCUAGAUGCCUUGAAUCAACAAUGCCAAAGCUCAAACAAAUUACUCUAUAUAGAAGCUGACUACAUAAAUUCUAGACCAGUCUCACCCAGAGGCACUAUAUGAACUUCAUUUUCCAGCAAUUACAACAAUCUAAACAAUCUAAAUGGCAAGUUCACUUACCAUUACAGGUAUCAUUUUGGCACAUUUUGCCAGGGUUUGAACAGGAAAGCUGACGUAUUUGAGAGCCUAAGAAAGAAUCAAAAUUAUCAGAUCUCAUCAGUUAUUACUUCACAACUGCCAAAGUUCUUUAGAUCAUAUUUGUCCAAAUCUUAUAAAGGGCAGCCCGGUGCACUAAAGCUACCGCUAUGUGCGGUAUCCGGGGAAGGGCCCCACCACAAGGGUGUAUCGUACGCAGACUUACCUUGCAUUUCUGCCAGAGGCUGUUGUUUCCAAGGCUUGAACCCGUGACCUCCUGGUCACAUGGCAGCAACUUUACCAGUUACUCCAAAUCUUAUGCGUUCGAUUUUUGUUUUUCACGAUCUUUUUUGUUUAAGGUUUAAUAUCUGUUUUCUACUUUGUUCUUUACUUCAUUUUCAUGAAAUCACAAGGAAGAUAAAACUUACCUCAUACUGACAAGUUGUUGUAAGGAUGUUAGACACAGAAACUAUACAAUACUUAUGGAGUGGAGCUACUGGGUCCAAUGCCUUCUUACUUGCCUGCAAAUCAGAGAAUUGGAGGUAAAUGCUUAGUGUAGUGUGUGACAAAUUCCCAAGAAAACAACAACAUACCCAGUGAAAUCCCACAAGUGAGGUUUUGGAAGGGUAGAGUGUACGCAGACCUUACCACUACCUCGCGCGGGCAGAGAGGUUUCCGAAAGACCCUCGGCUCAAGUGCAGCAAAUCCAGGUACAAAGAAGAAGGAAAUAGUGAAGAAAAUAUAGCAACUAACAAGGAAACAGUGCAAAGUCUACAAGAAAACAAAAAAUAAUGCAAACACUACAGAUUUCACUCUUUGCCUCACCAAGAGGCUCUCAAAAUAGAUUUGAAUGAUGUAAAGGGUCGUUUGGUUUGAAAAAAAGUUAUAACGGAAUUAUUUAUGCUGGGAUAAGUUAUGAUAGGAUAAGUUAUACUGGGAUUAGUUAUGUUGAGAUUAUUUUUUAUUGAGUGUUUGGUUUGUUGUAUUCAAAGUAAUAUGCAUGGUAUAAUUUCUAGGAAUAAAUUGAUUGAUUACCAAAAUAACCUUCAUCUUAUUUAACCUUUUUUAUAUAUAUAUAUUUCUUUUUAAGCUUUAAAUAUUCAUUCUUAAAUUUUUUUAUUUUUUUUUAGAGAAAUUAAAAUAUAUAAAUAAACAUAAUUUAUAUAUUUUACAACCAUUUUGAACGGUAAACUGUUCAAAAUUUAUUUAUUUAUGAAUAUAUUAUACGUUAAUUAAACAUAAUUUAUUAUUUAUGAAUAUAUAUAUAAAAUAUAUAUAUAUAUGUGUGUGUGUGUGUGAGAGAGAAAAAUGAAAAUAAUAGAGUUUGAGGGUAUUUUUGUCCUUUCAUACAUUUAUCCCAAGGAUAAAUUAUGGUGGGAUUGUUAUCUCACCAAUUGAGUGGAUAACUUAUCCCGGGACUAUUUAUUAGUCCCAGGAUAAGUUAUCCCAAAUAUUGCCAACCAAACAUGCAAUAGAAAAUUUUAUCCCGGAAUUAUUUGCUUCAACACCUCAAACCAAACGACCCCUAAAGGUACACUUGCAGUAUUAGAUGAAUAAGUCGUCUGUGCUUAUAGCCUAGAAUUGUUCUUUACCAGUAAAACUCCAGCAGAGACUGCAGAUGUGGUAAUCCGAUUGCAGAAGACAAGAAAUAAUGAGUAUAUAAAAUAGUCUUUGUUUGCCCCAUAAGGAACUCGCAUGAUCUUUUCCUGCAAGAACAGAUUUCAUCAUGAUGUCAAGGAUACAAAAGGUACACAAUAUCCAAGUUAAACGUAAAAAGGUGUUGCUUUAUUAAUAUGGGAUUAAGCAUGAGAUCAAAGUGACCUGUUGAACAGCUUGUAGAUGCUGCUAUACUUAUAUUUGCCAUUUCUCAUAAAUAUGCAGAUAACGAAAAAAGAAAGUGCAAAAGAAACCUCAAAAUUACUUAUGUUAAAUGGAGAAGAUCUUCUUGUACAAAUAAUUGCAUCUUCAAUUUAAGAAACUGGGGAAGAGGAUACAGAUCAAGGAAUUGGAUGACUCAAAGAUCAUUUUCAACAGUUGCUUACUCAAUGAUCACAUCAGUCCUUUAUUUUUGGUGCGUGGGGGGUGCAUGGAUGGGGUUGUAAGUUACUAUGAAUCUAUUUAACAGUUACUAAGAAUCUAUUUAACAUGUAAACUCCAGAAGUAAAAGGAAAAAAAAAUGUAGCAGAUUUUGCAUGAGAAUCAAUUGAAAACAGAAAAGAGACAUAUAAUCACAGAGAAAAGAGUCGUUUUAUGUGUAAUACUGGAAAGCUGCAAUUAGAAUCUAGAUGACUAUAUUGUACGAUGUGGCUCCCACUAAAAAACUCAAAUUAUGUGGAAAUUACACACACUUGGGCUGAUUGUCAAUAAGGGCACAUAUCAAGGUUUGAUUAGCCUAAACCCUUAAAACUUAGCAAAUGGGCAUGAAACAAAUUUGCAGGAAUGACAACUGCUAUAGAGAACAAGUGAAUUUAGAUAUUUAUUAAUGAACAAACAAUACUAAAAUUUUGUAGUUCACCUUUAUGCUUAUUUGUUUUAGGCUUGCUUAAUAUAGUACUGUGCUCUAUUCUUAUCCUCCAUAUGCUACCUUCCAUUUUUGUUUUUUUGGUAGAAAAAGAAGAAAGAAGGUGAGUUUGAACACUGACACAAGAGCCCUUAUUUAUUCAAAAGAGUGUCUCUUCCUCUUAAGAGCCUGUUGGAUUGGCUUAUUUUAAGUGCAAGUCCAAAUAGCUUUUAAGCACUUUUGUAGUGUUUGAGUAAAAUAAAAAAAGUGUUUUUAAGAUCUUAUGUAUAUGCCAAAAGCCAUAAGUUAGAAUUCCUAACUUAAGGCUUUCGUCUUAUAAGCCAAAAGCUAUAUGUCCAUCCAAAUAGUCUUCCAUCUGGAGCAAUUGAGCCAGACAACAUUGAUAGCAAAGUUUCCGUGGUAUGGUACAAAGCUUUUUUUGUCUGGAUCUUCGACAGAUGUACUCAACUGGUAUAAAAUGAAUGGCUCAUCCAAUGAGUGAUACACUACCGAGUAAACUGCAAAUGGGUCUUGCUUGGUAUAAUAUAAGUGGAUGAGUUAGUUAUAAUUAGCUCAUAAAUAACUUCUUUUUGGUUUCGGUUGCUUGACUCAAUAAUCGCCUUCAAAGUCAUUGACUCCAUGUGACGUUUUACUCUGGAAUCACACAAUUGUAUAAGAAAUUUAUUUAGAACAGAUCUUGUCCUGCAGGAUGCCCACACCUUGUGGCUUCCUCUGUAAAAUCGUUUGGAUCCCAUUGUAAGCACAACUCUUGCGUACUAACAGAAUUUGAAACUAUACCUCGAAACCAUUUCAUGAUAGGAUUAUAUUUAGAAACUCCAAUAUCAUAUUGGAAAGACUCUCUAUCAUGUUUUUUCACCCACAUAGAAUAAGCAUGUUUCCAUCCCAUGAGGGACCGAAAUGUCAGAGAAGCUGAAGACAAUCAGGAGGGAAGAAGUCCUUUAAAAUAAAUAAACUGAAAAUGCUUCACACUAGAAUUUAAUACCAAAAGUGUUCCGUCCGUUCAUUCUAAUAAGAACUGGAACAAUCAGAACUUCUAGAAUUAGCAAAAAUAAAGCACCAUGGAAAAGAACUUGCCCAAUGCUCUAAGCUUAAAUACCCAAAGUUAUUCUCCAUUUCCUCCCGUUGCAUACUAAACAAAUUUGUUACAAGAAUCUACUUAUGCAACCCAAAACUUCAAGGCAAUGAGUGGAGUGGUUGUCCGAUCCUUGUUCAACCACUUUAGAUAGACUUGCUUAUCCAAUGCGAGCCUUUUAUAUACAGCUCAAUGUCCUUCUGCACAUGUAACCUAAAUCUUAGGUCACACAUGACUCCAUGCAGACCUACGAAUGAGACUAUUGGUGUGCCAAAUGUUGCCUAUUAUACCAUAGUAAGGAAUCUAAAUAUUUAAACCAAAACUUAGUGGCAAUGAGUCAAGUUGACCAAGAACUCAACAAAGUUCAUAGCGCAUUGAACAAAAGCGUCUUAUACUGUUCAAUGUUGUAUGCACUAAUAACUUCAUAGCGCAUUGAACAAAAGCGUCUUAUACUGUUCAAUGUUGUAUGCACUAAUAACUAAGGCUUUUUCCCUCUUGUUUCUUUCAAUUGCAAAUGAAUAAAAUUACCAAAGCAGCAAGUGUAUCUCCUCAUUUUUCCUUUGCCCGUACGAUCAUGCAAGUACCCUCUUCCUAAAGCCCUUAACACUAUCAUACAAUUACAAUUACCUCUCCCACCAAAAUAAGAACUGAGCAACACAAUGAUACUUAAAGCGAUUAUACAUUUUCAUAACAUCAAAGGGCAUACUCUAUUUGUUUCAAUUAAUAUCACUCUCUUUUCAUUUUAGAACGUCUCCACAUGAUUGCACCAUUCCUUUUCAAUCAAAAUGUCACAUCUUCUAAUAAUUCAAGUUAAAAAUUCAAGCUCUUUCACAACUUCUAAUAACUCAAAUUAAAAAUUCAAACUCUAAAGCUUAAUGUGAUACUUUCCAAUGCACUAAGCUCCCGCUAUGUGUGAGGUUAAGGGAAAGACCGGACCACUAGAGUCUACUAUACGCAGCCUUGUGUAACAUUUUUAUAAAAGGAUGUUUCCACUCCUCGAACCCGUGACCUCUUCGUCACAUUGCAGCAACUAUCACAUUGUUAUUUUCUUUCACAACCACUAAUAUAACGCACCAGCCAAAAUGAACACCAUGCUCAGUCAAAUGCAACAACAACAAACCCAGUGUAUUCCCACCUAGUGGGGUCUGGGGGGGUAAGAUGUACGCAGUCCAUACCUCUACCUCUAAUGAGGUAGAAAGGCUGUUUCCGAUAGACCCCCGACUCAAGGCACGAGAUACCACACAAACACAUAGUGCACCACAGAAGCAGAUUACAUAACAUAAAUACGGCACCCAUAAGUAAUAUAAAGCAGAGGAAAGCAGGGGAAAGCACACAGAUUCGUAAUACAACAUGGAACACGGAACACGGAAUCAUGACAAGAAUAAAACCCCCACCAAGUAAUUCCCUACUCUAGGGACCAGAACUGGCCCUAAUCCUCUGCCGUAAUUCGCGUCCUCCAGACCUUCCUAUCUAGGGUCAUGUCCUCGGUGAGCUGUAACUGUUUCAUGUCCCGCCUAACCACCUCACCCCAGUACUUCUUCGGCCUACCCCUACCCCGCCUAAAAUCAUCCAACGCUAGUCUCUCACACCUACGGACCGGAACUGGCCAACACUCCGCUCCAUACAGCAAGGCCGGGCGGACUACCACCCUGUAGAAUUUGCCUUUAAGCUUGGGCGGCACCUUCUUAUCACACAGCACCCCCGACGCGAGUUUCCACUUCAUCCUUCCCGCCCCAAUACGGUGCGAGACAUCCUCGUCAAUCUCACCGUUACUCUGGAUCACGGACCCAAGAUACUUGAACUUAUCCCUCUUACAUACCUCCUGUGCUUCCAGCUUCACUACUACCUCAUUCUCCCGCCUCACGUCAUUAAACUUGCAUUCCACAUACUCUGUCUUGCUUCUGCUCACCCUGAACCCUUUAGACUCAAGAGUUUGCCUCCACCCCUCUACUUUGUCAUUCACACCCCCUCGAGUCUCAUCUAUCAGAACUACAUCGUCUGCAAAAAGCAUACACCACGGCACCUCCCCUUGAAUACGCCGCGUCAACACAUCCAUCACCAACGCAAACAAAAAGGGACUAAGAGUAGAUCCCUGAUGCAAUCCUGUCAGGACAGUGAAAUGCUCCGAGUCUCCUCCCGCCGUCCUCACCUGGGUUUUCGCUCCAUCAUACAUAUCCUUAAUUACUCUGAUAUAUGCCAGCGGUACCCCACUCACCUCCAAGCAUCUCCAAAGCACCUCCCUGGGGACUUUGUCGUAAGCCUUCUCCAGGUCGAUAAACACCAUGUGCAGAUCCUUCUUCCUCUCCCUAUACUGCUCCACCAACCUCCGUACCAGGUGGAUUGCCUCCGUCGUCGAGCGGCCGGGCAUAAAUCCGAACUGGUUCUCCGAAAUAGACACUAUCCGUCUCAGCCUCACCUCGACCACUCUCUCCCAGAUCUUCAUCGAGUGACUCAAUAACUUAAUCCCCCUAUAGUUAUCGCAACUCUGAAUGUCCCCCUUAUUCUUAUAGAGAGGGAUUAUGGUACUCCACCUCUACGCCUCGGGCAUCUUUGCCGUCCUGAAAAUUUCAUUGAACAAUCCAGUCAACCACCUUACACCAGCCUCUCCAACGAACUUCCAAAACUCCACCGGUAUCUCAUCCGGCCCUGUCGCCCUACCCCUUCGCAUCCUGCGGACAGCCUGUCUAACCUCUUCUACCUUAAAACGUCUACAAUAGCUAAAAUCCCGACACUCCUCUGAGUGCUCCAGUUCCCCUAAAUAGAAAUGCAUACAUA
rnacentral:lncRNA from 1 species